UAGGAGAGCAAUAACUUUUAAAUCACCACAAAUGAGAAAACUGUGAUUAUGAUACUUGAUGGCAGUUAUUAGUGUCGUCAUAUUUUCAUAAGUUUCUGACAUUUGGACUCUAUGGCCAAUUGGUACGGAUGCAGCUGUGUUGCCAUUAUAGAGAAUAACAGCCUUUAAACUUCUGUUAGGAGAAUGAACGAAGAGCCUCUAGUCAUCUGCAUUUUAUGACGUCCCCAUGUGUUCAAUAAGGCCAGAAAUAUAUGAACAGAAAACUAAAGAAUUCUGUUUCUCAAACUGCGUGAAUCCUGCUACACGAUGUUGCUACCAAGCGAAUGUUGUUCCAGAAGCUAGAAACCUGUGUUCCUUCAGUUUUGAGCCAAGGGGAAGAGUAAAAGAAUGUGUAUCAAGGAAGAGACUGAAAAGUCAUAUGAAGGUUCACCAAAACAAUCAAUGUAGUCAUCUUGUCACAUCUGUAUAAAAAAGUAAUGCGACUUAAUAAACAAAGACAACAACGGCAACAUGAAUAAUAGCACUAACGGCAAUAACAACAACAGAAACAAAACAACAACAACAACAAUACAACAGCAGCAGAAGCAAUAACAACAACCAUAACAAGAAAACAUGAUAAUCACAAAAGACUUGAGAAAAACACCAAACGCAACCGUACAUACAAAACAGUUGAACAUGACGUCUUUAUAUCAGUAAUAUUCAAUAAACAGUGUCAACAUUAAGUUUGUACCGAAGGCAUCAAGAGGAACAUGCGUCAACU